ACUCCUACGGGAGGCAGCAGUGAGGAAUUUUGCGCAAUGGGGGAAACCCUGACGCAGCAACGCCGCGUGAGUGAUGAAGGCUUUCGGGUCGUAAAGCUCUGUCAAGUGGGAAGAACCACCGUGAGGUUAAUACCCUCAUGGUUUGACGGUACCACUGAAGGAAGCACCGGCUAACUCCGUGCCAGCAGCCGCGGUAAUACGGGGGGUGCAAGCGUUAUUCGGAUUUACUGGGCGUAAAGCGCGCGUAGGCGGCCUUUUAAGUCAGAUGUGAAAGCCCGGGGCUCAACCCCGGAAGUGCAUUUGAUACUAUACGGCUUGAGUAUGGGAGAGGGAAGUGGAAUUCCUGGUGUAGAGGUGAAAUUCGUAGAUAUCAGGAGGAACACCGGUGGCGAAGGCGACUUCCUGGACCAAUACUGACGCUGAGGCGCGAAGGCGUGGGUAGCAAACAGGAUUAGAUACCCUGGUAGUCCACGCCCUAAACGAUGAAUGCUAGGUGUAGCGGGUAUUAGUCUAUUCGGUGAUGCAGCUAACGCAUUAAGUAUUCCGCCUGGGGAGUACGGUCGCAAGAUUAAAACUUAAAGGAAUUGACGG
rnacentral:rRNA from 1 species